rnacentral:rRNA from 1 species
UACGUAGGGUGCGAGCGUUGUCCGGAAUUAUUGGGCGUAAAGAGCUCGUAGGCGGUCUGUCGCGUCGGUCGUGAAAACUUGGGGCUUAACCCUGAGCUUGCGGUCGAUACGGGCAUGACUGGAGUUCGGCAGGGGGGACUGGAAUUCCUGGUGUAGCGGUGAAAUGCGCAGAUAUCAGGAGGAACACCGGUGGCGAAGGCGGGUCUCUGGGCCGAUACUGACGCUGAGGAGCGAAAGCGUGGGGAGCGAACGGG